UACGUAGGGGGCAAGCGUUGUCCGGAAUCAUUGGGCGUAAAGCGCGUGUAGGCGGCUCGGUAAGUCCGCUCUGAAAGUCCAGGGCUCAACCCUGGGAUGCGGGUGGAUACUGCCGGGCUCGAGUCCGGAAGAGGCGAGUGGAAUUCCCGGUGUAGCGGUGAAAUGCGCAGAUAUCGGGAGGAACACCAAUGGCGAAGGCAGCUCGCUGGGACGUGACUGACGCUGAGACGCGAAGGCUAGGGGAGCGAACGGG
rnacentral:rRNA from 1 species